GGAGAUGAAUCCCUAUAAUAUAUAGUAUGU
rnacentral:guide_RNA from 1 species